AAGAUCAUACUUCACAGGAUCAUUUCUGUAGUUUAUCUUGACUAGUUUCCCACCAGAAACAAGUCCCCUAUAUACCCACGAUGACGAGUGACGGCGCUGGCUUCUGAGCGUGAAGCAGGCCGUGAGUGUAGCUACUUCGGUGGGAUCUACUCACGGCUAUUGAGGACCGUUUCUGAUACUUCCUUGUGAAGAAUCGAGAGGAAGUCGGCGUGUUCAGAGUGGU